rnacentral:rRNA from 1 species
UGGAGAGUUUGAUCCUGGCUCAGGAGUUUGAUCCUGGCUCAGAUUGAACGCUGGCGGCAUGCCUUACACAUGCAAGUCGAACGGUAACAGGUCUUCGGAUGCUGACGAGUGGCGAACGGGUGAGUAAUACAUCGGAACGUGCCCGAGAGUGGGGGAUAACGAGGCGAAAGCUUUGCUAAUACCGCAUACGAUCUCAGGAUGAAAGCAGGGGACCGCAAGGCCUUGCGCUCACGGAGCGGCCGAUGGCAGAUUAGGUAGUUGGUGGGAUAAAAGCUUACCAAGCCGACGAUCUGUAGCUGGUCUGAGAGGACGACCAGCCACACUGGGACUGAGACACGGCCCAGACUCCUACGGGAGGCAGCAGUGGGGAAUUUUGGACAAUGGGCGCAAGCCUGAUCCAGCCAUGCCGCGUGCAGGAUGAAGGCCUUCGGGUUGUAAACUGCUUUUGUACGGAACGAAAAGACUCCUUCUAAUAAGGGGGUCCAUGACGGUCCGUAAUCC